UGGGGAAUUUUGCACAAUGGGGGAAACCCUGAUGCAGCGACGCCGCGUGAUUUAGAAGGCCUUCGGGUUGUAAAAAUCUUUUGUAUGGGAAGAAAAUGACAGUACCAUACGAAUAAGGACCGGCUAAUUACGUGCCAGCAGCCGCGGUAAUACGUAAGGUCCGAGCGUUGUCCGGAAUCAUUGGGCGUAAAGGGUACGUAGGCGGAUAAGCAAGUUAGAAGUGAAAUCCUAUAGCUCAACUAUAGUAAGCUUUUAAAACUGCUCAUCUUGAGGUAUGGAAGGGAAAGUGGAAUUCCUAGUGUAGCGGUGAAAUGCGCAGAUAUAAGGAGGAAUACCGGUGGCGAAGGCGACUUUCUGGCCAUAUACUGACGCUGAGGUACGAAAGCGUGGGUAGCAAACAGG
rnacentral:rRNA from 1 species